rnacentral:rRNA from 1 species
UACGAAGGUGGCAAGCGUUACUCGGAAUUACUAGGCGUAAAGGGCAGGUAGGCGGCUUGAUAAGUCUGUUGUGAAAGCUCCUGGCUUAACCGGGAGAGGUCAACGGAAACUGUCGAGCUUGAGUGUAGGAGAGGGUACUGGAAUUCCCGGUGUAGCGGUGAAAUGCGCAGAGAUCGGGAGGAACACCAACGGCGAAAGCAGGUACCUGGACUACUACUGACGCUCAGCUGCGAAAGCUAGGGGAGCAAACAGG